AACGAACGCUGGCGGCAUGCCUAACACAUGCAAGUCGAACGAGACCUUCGGGUCUAGUGGCGCACGGGUGCGUAACGCGUGGGAACCUGCCUUUAGGUUCGGAAUAACUCAGAGAAAUUUGAGCUAAUACCGGAUGAUGUCUUCGGACCAAAGAUUUAUCGCCUUUAGAUGGGCCCGCGUUGGAUUAGCUAGUUGGUGGGGUAAAGGCCUACCAAGGCGACGAUCCAUAGCUGGUCUGAGAGGAUGAUCAGCCACACUGGGACUGAGACACGGCCCAGACUCCUACGGGAGGCAGCAGUGGGGAAUAUUGGACAAUGGGCGAAAGCCUGAUCCAGCAAUGCCGCGAGAGUGAUGAAGGCCUUAGGGUUGUAAAGCUCUUUUACCCGAGAUGAUAAUGACAGUAUCGGGAGAAUAAGCUCCGGCUAACUCCGUG
rnacentral:rRNA from 1 species